rnacentral:rRNA from 1 species
UACGGAAGGCAGCAGUGGGGAAUAUUGCACAAUGGGCGAAAGCCUGAUGCAGCUAUGCCGCGUGUAUGAAGAAGGCCUUAGGGUUGUAAAGUACUUUCAUCGGGGAGGAAAAAACAAAACUAAUAAUUUUAUUUCUUGACGUUACCCGAAAAAGAAGCACCGGCUAACUCCGUGCCAGCAGCCGCGGUAAUACGGAGGGUGCUAGCGUUAAUCAGAAUUACUGGGCGUAAAGAGCACGUAGGUGGUUUUUUUAAGUCAGAUGUGAAAUCCCUGGGCUUAACCUAGGAACUGCAUUUGAAACUGAAAUACUAGAGUAUCGUAGAGGGAGGUAGAAUUCUAGGUGUAGCGGUGAAAUGCGUAGAUAUCUGGAGGAAUACCUGUGGCGAAAGCGGCCUCCUAAACGAAUACUGACACUGAGGUGCGAAAGCGUGGGGAGCGAAACAGGGAUUAGAUACC